rnacentral:rRNA from 1 species
AGAUGCGAUUAUACCAGCACUAAAGCACCGGAUCCCAUCAGAACUCCGAAGUUAAGCUUGCUUGGGCGAGAGUAGUACUAGGAUGGGUGACCUCUUGGGAAGUCCUCGUGUUGCAUUCC